GACGAACGCUGGCGGCGUGCCUAAUACAUGCAAGUCGAGCGGACCUCUUCGGAGGUUAGCGGCGGACGGGUGAGUAACACGUGGGCAACCUGCCUGUAAGACUGGGAUAACUCCGGGAAACCGGAGCUAAUACCGGAUAGUAUCUUGAACCGCAUGGUUCAAGUUGGAAAGACGGUUUCGGCUGUCACUUACAGAUGGGCCCGCGGCGCAUUAGCGAGUUGGUGAGGUAAUGGCUCACCAAGGCAACGAUGCGUAGCCGACCUGAGAGGGUGAUCGGCCACACUGGGACUGAGACACGGCCCAGACUCCUACGGGAGGCAGCAGUAGGGAAUCUUCCGCAAUGGACGAAAGUCUGACGGAGCAACGCCGCGUGAGUGAUGAAGGUUUUCGGAUCGUAAAACUCUGUUGUUAGGGAAGAACAAGUGCGAGAGUAACUGCUCGCACCUUGACGGUACCUAACCAGAAAGCCACGGCUAACUACGUGCCAGCAGCCGCAGUAA
rnacentral:rRNA from 1 species